AAUUAUUUUUCGAAUAAACCCAAAUCUAAUUGGGAUUAUAUUCUAAAUUACCCUAAAAUAACCAAAUUAACCCACUUCCCUUUAAAAAUUGGGCCAACUGCCCAAGAUAACCCCAACCCAAUUCAAACAACAGCUACCAGCCCAAACCAGCCCAGUUUCCUUCCCUUUUACCCUUGACCCAAUAACAUAUUAGCAGCCUACCUCAAACAAUAUCAGCUCGGCCCAAUACAAUCUUGACCCGACCCUUUGUAUUUCUUCUUUAACAAUCUUGCAGCAAUUCAAUGACACAAAAACAGCAUAACAUCAGCAACAAAAUACGAUGCACAAACAGUGAUCAGUGAUAACCCGAGAUUUGACCCUUAACUAACCCGACAGUUUUGACCCGAAACUAGCACCAACCCGAUAGACCCAUCAGCAACCCGACAUUUUUAACCCGAUAUUGACACCCUACCCUCGUUUAAAUUUCAAAAUUUGAAAUUCAUACAAAACAAUUUUGAGAUAGAUGGUGUCCAGCUCAUAAGGUGAUUCCCUUAAAUUUUCGAAAUUACCCUUCAAUCCCAUUUUCCCACAUCGGUUGCAGCAUAAAUUUGAACCUAAAAUAUUUCUUCUAUAAAAGGGAGGACUGAGCUGAAAAAUACCAAGUCUAGGAGGUGAAAAACUUUCCAGCAAAACAUCAUUUUUUUAGUAAAAAAAUUCUCAUCAUGAGAAAGUCGAGGUGUUCUCGGAGUCAUAGAAGUCUUUUGGUGGUGGAGGGGAGAUUUCGACGACAACUCAAAUCCCGUUUUGUUACUCUGAAACAGUCCAUUAUCCUUUGGGGGUCAGGAGAAGGCUUUCUUUGCUUACUUCAUGUAAAGAUGCCUCAAUCACACACCAAUCGAAUAAGGAAUUGAAGCAAGCCAAGAAAGAAAUGGAUCCAUUUGGAUGGUUGUAUUUAGAGCACAGAUAUACAAAAAUUGCUUGAUCAUCAACGGAUAUCGCCAAUGACAAGAAAUGGACAAAGUUCAGAGGACGAAAGCUGAUAGAAAAGCAUUCAAGAACUAAUAUUUACUAUCCCUUGUGUGGGAUAUUAUUCUUUUUCUCAUGUUAUUUUUUCCCCUAUCCCUAAAGAUUGUAUCCCUUUUUUGUAACUUUUGUAGGCAUAUAUGUCAUUUAUGUAUACCUAUGAAGUUUUUUGAGGGAUAAUGGACUGGCUUUAAAAGGGCAUAUAUUUUCUUCAAAAUUCAUUAGGCCUAAACCCUUGGCUCAAAAGGGUCACCCCA